rnacentral:rRNA from 1 species
CCUACGGGUGGCAGCAGUGAGGAAUAUUGGUCAAUGGCCGCGAGCCUGAACCAGCCAAGUCGCGUGAGGGAAGACGGUGCUAUGGAUUGUAAACCUCUUUUGUCGGGGAGCAAAAGACGCCACGCGUGGCUUUCCGAGAGUACCCGAAGAAAAAGCAUCGGCUAACUCCGUGCCAGCAGCCGCGGUAAUACGGAGGAUGCGAGCGUUCUCCGGAUUUAUUGGGUUUAAAGGGUGCGCAGGCGGAAGAUCAAGUCAGCGGUAAAAUUGAGAGGCUCAACCUCUGCGAGCCGUUGAAACUGGUUUUCUUGAGUGAGCGAGAGGUAUGCGGAAUGCGUGGUGUAGCGGUGAAAUGCAUAGAUAUCACGCAGAACUCCGAUUGCGAAGGCAGCAUACCGGCGCUCAACUGACGCUCAUGCACGAAAGUGUGGGUAUCGAACAGGAGUAGAUACCCCAGUAGUC